rnacentral:rRNA from 1 species
UGGGGAAUCUUGCACAAUGGGGGCAACCCUGAUGCAGCGACGCCGCGUGAGCGAUGAAGCCCUUCGGGGCGUAAAGCUCUUUCGACCGGAACGAUAAUGACGGUACCGGGAGAAGAAGCUGCGGCUAACUACGUGCCAGCAGCCGCGGUAAUACGUAGGCAGCAAGCGUUGUUCGGAGUUACUGGGCGUAAAGAGCGCGUAGGCGGUUUUCUAAGUUCGGUGUGAAAUCUCCCGGCUUAACUGGGAGGGUGCGCCGAAGACUGGGAAGCUGGAGUGUGGAAAGGCAGGCGGAAUUCCUGGUGUAGCGGUGAAAUGCGUAGAUAUCAGGAGGAACACCGGCGGUGUAGACGGCUUGCUAGACCAUAACUGACGCUGAGGCACGAAAGCGUGGGUAGCAAACA